GCGCCCGUAGCUCAAUCGGAUAGAGCAUCGGCCUUCUAAGCCGAGGGUUGUGUGUUCAAAUCACACCGGGCGCA
rnacentral:tRNA from 1 species